AUCAUUUCUCGGCCUUUUGCCUAGGAUCAAGUGUGGUGUCUGUUCUUAUCAGUCUAAUAUCUGAUACGCCCUCUAUCCAAGGGCUAUAUAUUAAAUGGACUUUUGGAGCUGGGAUUUGGAACGGGAGCUUGCUCCGUCCAUUCUACUCAUUGACCUGAUAUUUCAGUGCCUCCAGGAACCGUGCACCAAAU
ensembl:snRNA U2 U2 spliceosomal RNA